rnacentral:lncRNA from 1 species
CUUGGGCUCCGUGUGGUCGCAGAGGGACCGGCCGGGGGCUGCAGGCGCCUCCCCCACUGUGCGCGCCACCGUGGCCCAGUUCAACACCGUGACCGGCUGUGUGCUGGGUUCCGUGCUCGGAGCACCGGGCUUGGCCGCCCCGCAGAGGGCGCAGCGGCUGGAGAAGUGGAUCCGCAUCGCCCAGGGAACCGCUAUCUACUUUCAGGAAACUUUCGCAGAUUUUCUCCGAUGAGAACAACCACCUCAGCAGCAGAGAGAUUCUUUUCCAGGAGGAGGCCACUGAGGGAUCCCAAGAAGAGGACAACACCCCAGGCAGCCUGCCCUCAAAACCACCCCCAGGCCCUGUCCCCUACCUUGGCACCUUCCUUACGGACCUGGUUAUGCUGGACACAGCCCUGCCGGAUAUGUUGGAGGGGGAUCUCAUUAACUUUGAGAAGAGGAGGAAGGAGUGGGAGAUCCUGGCCCGCAUCCAGCAGCUGCAGAGGCGCUGUCAGAGCUACA